rnacentral:rRNA from 1 species
ACUCCUACGGGAGGCAGCAGUGGGGAAUUUUGGACAAUGGGCGCAAGCCUGAUCCAGCAAUGCCGCGUGAGUGAAGAAGGCCUUCGGGUUGUAAAGCUCUUUUGUCAGGGAAGAAACGGCAGUGGCUAAUAUCCAUUGCUAAUGACGGUACCUGAAGAAUAAGCACCGGCUAACUACGUGCCAGCAGCCGCGGUAAU